CGCUGCUCCAUUUUUCUUGCGCGAGUGGAGGUCGGACGACCGCCGCCGGCGGCGGCAGCGGUGGCGACCUCUCUCCAUCGCGCCGUGGCCCACUAACCCCCGCCCGCACCCCACCAUGUCUGCUGCUGGCCAUAUUUGUCGCGCGAGGGAGGUCGGACGGCCGGCGGCUGCGGCCGCGGCGGCCUCUCUCCAUCGCGCCGUGCCCCACCCCCACCUCCACCCCAUGCUGUUCGCUACGUUUGCUGGCCGUUCAUCUCACGCCGAGUGAGGUCGGACAGCCGGCGGCGACAACCUCAUGCGUCGAUCCGUUUUCAUCUGGGUGCGGUGGCGGCAACCUCUCGAUUCGAUCUGCAUCGCUUCACAGAACGAAGGAGGCGAGGUAAGCCACCUAGACUGAGGAUUAAAAAUUGCGUCUGCAUCAUCCGCCUAGGAUUGGGAUCGUCAAAUUGGCUUAUUGUAAUGGUAUCUCUUGAUGAUGAGAUGAACAGACCAAACAAUUGGGAUGUGAUUGCUUUGGCAGGUAAGCAAUUGGGAUGUGAUUGCUUUGGCAGGUACAGAUAGUCAGAUAAUUGCAAUCACAUUUUAGUAAAUUGUUGUUGAGCUAUAUUUGUUUGUGGAAUCGCACGCCUAUCUCCGAGAAUCAGCGCCUUGCUCGGUGCUAAUUCCAUCGCGUUUCUUAUAUUUAUUCACAGUAAAGUAAGGUAGUUGGCAAACAUGUAGAUAUUUUGGGCAAAGUUCUGCAAUACUAGCAUUAUUACUUCUAAAAGGUUCUCCACUAGCAUAUAUUGUUGUUCCCUGAUUAUGUAAUAAAGAUAUUGAUUAGGGCAAACGACAUGUAGCUUUGUGGCUCUUGACGCCUUUUUCAUUUUGAUGAGUGAAACUGCAUCCAUUGGUUAUCUAAUUAAGAUUCUGAAUUAAGGAAAACGAUAUGUAGCUUUGUGGCUCUUGAUGGUUUUUUUCAAUUUGAUGAGUGAGACACAAAUAAGGAACUAGCUAUAAAUAUCUCCACAUGCCAUAGCAUACAGGAAUUAUUGGCUGUAUGUGUCUGUUGAACUUAUUCUGAAAGGGAAUAUUCCCUUGCUUAUAGUGUGUAAAAUGUUUGUCUCCUGCCACUUCACCAAUUGCAAGCUGGCCGCGACGUGCCCGCUCAAGCUGCAGCUCGCGCCGCCCGGGACGCUGGCCGUCGUGUUCCAUAAGGUCAAGUGCAAGCUCGCCAAGCCCGACAAGAACUGCUAUUAUAUACCUUUGUUUUUUUAUCAGUGCAAGAAUGACACAGAGGUUGUUACUUCAGUACUGACUCCAUCUAUAUACCUUUUGCUUGGUUUUGCUGAUUGAUUGCUGUGUGAAGGCUACAAUUGAGAGGUACAAGAAGGCACAUGUUGUUGGAUCAUCAUCUGGGGCCCCACUCUUAGAGCUUAAUGCCUAGAUAUCAAUUACAUGGUCAAAAGGGUAAGGGACAAAGGAAUGGGAUAAAUGAAAAUAAGUGGAAGGCAGGAUGCUUUAGUUGGCUGAAACCAGGAGGAAGGGUCAAUGGCGCAGCAGGCAACAAUGGCCAAGUCUCUGUCUAGUCGUUAUUGUCAACCACUUGUAGAAUUGUAAAGAAAAUGACCCCAUUAGGCUAUUGCUUUGUGAUUUUGGUGAUUGAUUAACAAUGCAAUUAAUAGUACUAA